rnacentral:lncRNA from 1 species
AUUUUCUGGAAUCUAGAAGGGAAGAAUUCAGAAUAUUAAGGGGUUGAAGAUUGCCAGGCUUAUAUUCCCACAUCCUAAUUCGACUGACAGCAUCACAUUCUUUCCCUAUCAAUUAUGUGGUUUUUCCUUGAAAACAAAUUGAUGUAUUUUUAAUCAUUAAUCUUACCGUUAUAAUUGUGGAACUUUGGAUAUUUCACUUUAGCCCUAAUUAGUUUUACUUUCUUCAUAUGUGAACAUUAUAUAUUAUAAUUUAGGUAAAUUGCAUCCUUUAAUUACUAAUCUGUUAUAAAUUAUAAUCUCUUUCUCCCUCUCUUGUUACACAUAUUAUCUACAUCAUUUCUAAAUCUUCUGUAUUAAUUUGUUUCUCUAAGUAUAGAACUUUGUUUUCUUUGUUUUAUAGAGUCAUUUCAGGUAUUACACUGUUUUAGCUGAAUCCUAUAAGAUCAUUGAUAAUAUGUGUAGUAACUCAAUCAAAAGUAUUUCAUGCUGCUGAAAUCUCAUAAUAUGGCAAAUUAAUGUUACCAUUAAUAUUUUAAUUUAUGGUAACAAUAGUAAUAUGUGUAAUUACUCACUAAGGAUCUAAAUUCAACACUGUAUAUUUGUGUAUCAAGAGCUUUAGGGCAUACCAAGUAGAUAAAAUGUGGUCCUUUAUAUAAAACUACUUGAUAGAGGGCUGGGGUUGUAGCUCAACAGUAGAGCGCUAGCCUAGCUUGUGUGAGGCCCUGGGUUUGAUCCUCAGUACCACAAAAAAAUAAAUAACAUAAAGGUAUUGUGUC